rnacentral:tRNA from 1 species
AGCGGCGUGGCCUAGUGGAAGGAGCCCGGGUUUAGGAGUCAGAGGUCGUGGGUUCUAAUCCCACCUCUGCCA